UUAAGCGACUAAGCGUACACGGUGGAUGCCCUGGCAGUCAGAGGCGAUGAAGGACGUGCUAAUCUGCGAUAAGCGUCGGUAAGGUGAUAUGAACCGUUAUAACCGGCGAUUUCCGAAUGGGGAAACCCAGUGUGAUUCGUCACACUAUCAUUAACUGAAUCCAUAGGUUAAUGAGGCGAACCGGGGGAACUGAAACAUCUAAGUACCCCGAGGAAAAGAAAUCAACCGAGAUUCCCCCAGUAGCGGCGAGCGAGCGGGGAGCAGCCCAGAGCCUGAAUCAGUGUGUGUGUUAGUGGAAGCGUCUGGAAAGGCGCGCGAUACAGGGUGACAGCCCCGUACACAAAAAUGCACAUGCUGUGAGCUCGAUGAGUAGGGCGGGACACGUGGUAUCCUGUCUGAAUAUGGGGGGACCAUCCUCCAAGGCUAAAUACUCCUGACUGACCGAUAGUGAACCAGUACCGUGAGGGAAAGGCGAAAAGAACCCCGGCGAGGGGAGUGAAAAAGAACCUGAAACCGUGUACGUACAAGCAGUGGGAGCACAGAGCAAUCUGUGUGACUGCGUACCUUUUGUAUAAUGGGUCAGCGACUUAUAUUCUGUAGCAAGGUUAACCGAAUAGGGGAGCCGAAGGGAAACCGAGUCUUAACUGGGCGUUAAGUUGCAGGGUAUAGACCCGAAACCCGGUGAUCUAGCCAUGGGCAGGUUGAAGGUUGGGUAACACUAACUGGAGGACCGAACCGACUAAUGUUGAAAAAUUAGCGGAUGACUUGUGGCUGGGGGUGAAAGGCCAAUCAAACCGGGAGAUAGCUGGUUCUCCCCGAAAGCUAUUUAGGUAGCGCCUCGUGAAUUCAUCUCCGGGGGUAGAGCACUGUUUCGGCAAGGGGGUCAUCCCGACUUACCAACCCGAUGCAAACUGCGAAUACCGGAGAAUGUUAUCACGGGAGACACACGGCGGGUGCUAACGUCCGUCGUGAAGAGGGAAACAACCCAGACCGCCAGCUAAGGUCCCAAAGUCAUGGUUAAGUGGGAAACGAUGUGGGAAGGCCCAGACAGCCAGGAUGUUGGCUUAGAAGCAGCCAUCAUUUAAAGAAAGCGUAAUAGCUCACUGGUCGAGUCGGCCUGCGCGGAAGAUGUAACGGGGCUAAACCAUGCACCGAAGCUGCGGCAGCGACGCUGAUGCGUUGUUGGGUAGGGGAGCGUUCUGUAAGCCUGCGAAGGUGUGCUGUGAGGCAUGCUGGAGGUAUCAGAAGUGCGAAUGCUGACAUAAGUAACGAUAAAGCGGGUGAAAAGCCCGCUCGCCGGAAGACCAAGGGUUCCUGUCCAACGUUAAUCGGGGCAGGGUGAGUCGACCCCUAAGGCGAGGCCGAAAGGCGUAGUCGAUGGGAAACAGGUUAAUAUUCCUGUACUUGGUGUUACUGCGAAGGGGGGACGGAGAAGGCUAUGUUGGCCGGGCGACGGUUGUCCCGGUUUAAGCGUGUAGGCUGGUUUUCCAGGCAAAUCCGGAAAAUCAAGGCUGAGGCGUGAUGACGAGGCACUACGGUGCUGAAGCAACAAAUGCCCUGCUUCCAGGAAAAGCCUCUAAGCAUCAGGUAACAUCAAAUCGUACCCCAAACCGACACAGGUGGUCAGGUAGAGAAUACCAAGGCGCUUGAGAGAACUCGGGUGAAGGAACUAGGCAAAAUGGUGCCGUAACUUCGGGAGAAGGCACGCUGAUAUGUAGGUGAAGUCCCUCGCGGAUGGAGCUGAAAUCAGUCGAAGAUACCAGCUGGCUGCAACUGUUUAUUAAAAACACAGCACUGUGCAAACACGAAAGUGGACGUAUACGGUGUGACGCCUGCCCGGUGCCGGAAGGUUAAUUGAUGGGGUCAGCGCAAGCGAAGCUCUUGAUCGAAGCCCCGGUAAACGGCGGCCGUAACUAUAACGGUCCUAAGGUAGCGAAAUUCCUUGUCGGGUAAGUUCCGACCUGCACGAAUGGCGUAAUGAUGGCCAGGCUGUCUCCACCCGAGACUCAGUGAAAUUGAACUCGCUGUGAAGAUGCAGUGUACCCGCGGCAAGACGGAAAGACCCCGUGAACCUUUACUAUAGCUUGACACUGAACAUUGAGCCUUGAUGUGUAGGAUAGGUGGGAGGCUUUGAAGUGUGGACGCCAGUCUGCAUGGAGCCGGCCUUGAAAUACCACCCUUUAAUGUUUGAUGUUCUAACGUUGACCCGUGAUCCGGGUUGCGGACAGUGUCUGGUGGGUAGUUUGACUGGGGCGGUCUCCUCCUAAAGAGUAACGGAGGAGCACGAAGGUUGGCUAAUCCUGGUCGGACAUCAGGAGGUUAGUGCAAUGGCAUAAGCCAGCUUGACUGCGAGCGUGACGGCGCGAGCAGGUGCGAAAGCAGGUCAUAGUGAUCCGGUGGUUCUGAAUGGAAGGGCCAUCGCUCAACGGAUAAAAGGUACUCCGGGGAUAACAGGCUGAUACCGCCCAAGAGUUCAUAUCGACGGCGGUGUUUGGCACCUCGAUGUCGGCUCAUCACAUCCUGGGGCUGAAGUAGGUCCCAAGGGUAUGGCUGUUCGCCAUUUAAAGUGGUACGCGAGCUGGGUUUAGAACGUCGUGAGACAGUUCGGUCCCUAUCUGCCGUGGGCGCUGGAGAACUGAGGGGGGCUGCUCCUAGUACGAGAGGACCGGAGUGGACGCAUCACUGGUGUUCGGGUUGUCAUGCCAAUGGCACUGCCCGGUAGCUAAAUGCGGAAGAGAUAAGUGCUGAAAGCAUCUAAGCACGAAACUUGCCCCGAGAUGAGUUCUCCCUGACUCCUUGAGAGUCCUGAAGGAACGUUGAAGACGACGACGUUGAUAGGCCGGGUGUGUAAGCGCAGCGAUGCGUUGAGCUAACCGGUACUAAUGAACCGUGAGGCUUAACCUU
rnacentral:rRNA from 1 species